rnacentral:rRNA from 1 species
UACGGGGGGGGGCAAGCGUUGUUCGGAAUUACUGGGCGUAAAGGGCUCGUAGGCGGCCAACUAAGUCGGAUGUGAAAUCCCCCAGCUUAACCUGGGAACUGCAUCCGAUACUGGUUGGCUUGAAUCCGGGAGAGGGAUGCAGAAUUCCAGGUGUAGCGGUGAAAUGCGUAGAUAUCUGGAGGAAUACCGGUGGCGAAGGCGGCAUCCUGGACCGGCAUUGACGCUGAACAGCGAAAAGCUAGGGGGAG